ensembl:lncRNA
GGCUGUUUGCGCUGCCUUUGUGUCCCUUCUGUCUGUUUCACAGAACCAUCUGCUUAAUCGUGGGCAUGAUACCUUGAUGCUUACCUGAAUCAGCAGUAAACAGGGACAGCAGCUACAGAAACACACCUGGUGGACACAGAGAGACAGCUGCCCAGCAGCUACCUCCAGCAUGUCAAACAAAAAUUUGCAUUUCUCUGUCAGGCCAGUCACCUGAUAAAAAGACACGUCGUUACAUGUCAGACGACGCUUCUGAGGAUGACUGCAGAUGCAGUCGAAACAUGUCAAGCCAUCCUCUGGAGUGAGGACAUGAGACUCCUGCCGGCCUCUUGGAGAGAGGGCGUGGACCUUCCCCCCCAGACUGCCGCUCCCCUGGAGCCUGACUUUCCCCUCCCUCACCUGUAGUGUGUUUGGCACAGAGGCUGCAGGUGGAAUGUGAUCCAGAUCCGUAAUCAGCAUCAGCUGAGGCAUGAGCAGGUUUAGCUCAUCCAAUCAAAACCCACCUCUGCUGCAAUAAAGUCAGACGCCACUCACCACUCAUUGCUGGCCUGUGAACGAUCUAUAUCUGGAUUCCACCUGCUUGUGCGCCGUGGUUUUCUGCCCACCUGGUCUUCCGAAUACCUGGCUGAACGACUCACCUGCAUUCCACUCACCUGGACCAUUAUCCUCCCUCAGCCACCUUCCCUGCCGUUUCACUGCAGGAGCCUGUUGUCACAGCCUCCGAACCCUGACGUCCUCACCACCAGCCACACACCGUGUCUGCUCCUGACCACACCAUCCUGGUGAGAAGAUUCCCCUGGUCCCUGUCCCUUCUGUAUAGUUCAGCUAAGUCCC